rnacentral:rRNA from 1 species
GAUGAACGCUGGCGGCGUGCCUAAUACAUGCAAGUCGAGCGAAUGGAUUGAGAGCUUGCUCUUAUGAAGUUAGCGGCGGACGGGUGAGUAACACGUGGGUAACCUGCCCAUAAGACUGGGAUAACUCCGGGAAACCGGGGCUAAUACCGGAUAACAUUUUGAACCGCAUGGUUCGAAAUUGAAAGGCGGCUUCGGCUGUCACUUAUGGAUGGACCCGCGUCGCAUUAGCUAGUUGGUGAGGUAACGGCUCACCAAGGCAACGAUGCGUAGCCGACCGGGGAGGGUGAUCGGCCACACUGGGACGGAGACACGGCCCAGACUCCUACGGGAGGCAGCAGUAGGGAAUCUUCCGCAAUGGACGAAAGUCUGACGGAGCAACGCCGCGUGAGUGAUGAAGGCUUUCGGGUCGUAAAACUCUGUUGUUAGGGAAGAACAAGUGCUAGUUGAAUAAGCUGGCACCUUGACGGUACCUAACCAGAAAGCCACGGCUAACUACGUGCCAGCAGCCGCGGUAA